GUUCGAGCGUCAUUACAACCCUCAAGCUCAGCUUGGUAUUAGGCUUCACCCUUAGGGGCGGGCUUUAAAAUCAGUGGCGGUGCCAUUCGGCUUCAAGCGUAGUAAUCUUCUCGCUUUGGAGACCGGGUGUGUGUUUGCCAACAACCCCAUAUUUUUUAAAGGUUGACCUCGGAUCAGGUAGGGAUACCCGCUGAACUUAA
rnacentral:misc_RNA from 1 species